rnacentral:lncRNA from 1 species
UGUUCCCUGAACCACAGAAGUAAAAGCAAUGCAUGCUGUGGAUGUGUCCACUGGAUCUGGGCUCUCUAUAACCCAUUGAUUGUUGAAAUUUCAGUUGUAGUCCAUGUAUUAAGUCUCCAUUUGCUACACAGGAAAAUAAAGGGAAAGGUGUUUCUAACAGUGGGAACAUUCUCAUGGGUCUGUUUAUGUCUUGCAGAGUCCUUCCUCGCCACCUGGAUCUCCCAGCUUCCUUCAGAAGAGUAUGGGUGGAACAAGCUAGCAGAUCUCCAAAAGCGCUGUGAACCAAGAAGUGAAAUAACGAAGAGCCUGGAGACUGCACAGCUCCAGCUUGUAGGCCCUGGAGGGAGGCUGGAGUCCUCAGACCGACAGAAGGAAGACAGCUGAGGGGCGACCAGGAGGUGCCUGUGGCUGUGGAGUACAGGUGAGAGCCAGAGGGAGGAUGACCAGGGGGCUUAUGGGUAAAGAGGCCCAGAGCUCCUGACCUGGGAAAAUGGAUAGACCAGAAGGAGAGCUGUCAGCAGAGUUUAAGGGGGAAGGAGUGCAGAGGGGCAUUGAUUAAGAACAUCAAGGAAGGGAGGAGGGUCAGGGGUGUGGUUGCUCAAAAGACGACAAAAGAGAGAAAAAAGGUUGCGGUCUGAGAGAGGGAGGGCUUGGGAAUAGAUAUCAGUCUGAAGUUGGUUCCAACUAGGCUGCUUAAGAAACUUGACUUUAAAAGGGUGGGUGGGAGGCCAACGUGGAAUGUCCAGUUGCAUAAGGAAGUUGAGAGUGGGUAGAUGUGCCUCACAGUGCAUCAAAUCUUUCGAGUUGUGUGUCAUAUAGCCACACCUACUCCCACUUUGACCUAAACUAGGAGGAAUUCUGGUCUGCCGGCUUUUCUAGGUUCUUUCCACUCUCAACCAAUGCUUCCCACUUUCCCUUUCUUCCUUUGGAUCUUCCACAGCCGCUCUAGGAAGUGGACCAGCAAUCAGAAAUUCUGUUUUCUAGUCUAGAACUUGCCACUUACUGUCGGCAUUAGCCUAAGCAAGGAAACCCCAGAGUUUCCCUUUCCUUUGUCUAAAAAGGGAGAUAAUAAUAUAUUACUGACGAGCUUCACAGAUUGUUCCGAGGACUGAAUAAGUAAGAGGAUGUGAAGAAAUGCUCUUAAUAGAUUAUAAUUGCUAGCUAAAUAAAAGUUGGCAUUAAUAAUAAUUAAUCA